AGAUUCUGCAUAUAUUUCCAAGUUAACAUGAACAAGAUUUUCUGAAAGACUGCUAUGGAGUCUGAGAAAAAAUGUCAAAGGUAGUGCCAAAAUUGUCACUUAAAGAACUGCAGGAAUGGAGUUGGCAUUUACAGAAUUUGGAAGAGAAGCAGGUUUAGUGAUAAAGACCAGAAGCACAGAGCUAAGCAUAUUAAAUGUGAGUUGUCUAUUAGGCAUUCAAGAAGACAUAUAGAGUGGGCAGUGGCUAUAUGAGGCUAGAGUUCUGGGAAGGCUGGGCUGAUGACAGAAAUGUAUUAGUCAUUAACAUUUAUGUGUGUGUGUACACAUAUGCACAUGAACACUGGAUAUGCGAAUGCACAGAUUGAGGACAUGAAGAGGAAAGAACUGACAGAGGAGGUGAAGAAAGGUGAUCAGGAAGAGCCAUCAAAGUGUUAUCCUGGAAUUCAAGUGAAGACAGUGUUUCAAAGUGGAAAUGAACAGUGUCCUGUAACCCUCAGAGUGAGACUAGAGUCAGAAUGCAGGCUUUUCUCAUUUGAAAUCUAGAAGAGGUUUCACCCUGUUGCCAGGCUUAUCUCAAACUCCUGGGCUCAAGCUAUUUCCUCACCUCAGCCACCCAAAAUGCUGGGGAUACAGGCGUGAACCAUCACACCAGCAAGGUAAGUCCAGGUCCUUACCUCCACCUAAAAGUUCUGCCAUCAAGGAACAUCUGCUCAUUAUCUUCUGUUCACACAUCAAAUGACUUCAAUGUGAUCCCUGGAUGUUCUCCAAAGAGCUGAAGGGAAAUAAAUAUUCUUUCUUUAUCACCAAAUACUUCAACUGCAGAGUGAUUGUGCUACCAAGGCCUGAAACUUCGGAAAAACCUGCAUAACACAAAAUAUAAAAUAUGCCACAGAGAGGAUCCAGAGAGCCCAUCUCCGGUCAGUUAUCUGUAUUUGUAUGUCAACUACAGCAUCAAAAAGCAUAGGCAUGGAUACUAAGGACCCCCUCUGUACACCAACGCCAGUCCAAAGGACAGUGUGUCACUGUGAACUGGAAAUUCAUCUCUCUUCUUCAAUUUUUUUCUACCUACUUUAUGCUUUAUCUCUAAGUUGAGGCUGUUUAUGGCCUCAUCCUCAAUUACCUUGUCCCUCAUUACUCCCAGUUAAUGGAGAUUAAGCUUUGUAUCAUGACUUCCUAACUAAAAUUGAAAUCACAAGACAUCACAUAAAUAAAGUUACAAA
ensembl:lncRNA LINC02790 long intergenic non-protein coding RNA 2790